rnacentral:rRNA from 12 species
CAACCCGAGGCAACCGGGAUACCCGCCUCCAGGAAACUUGACAGAUAACUUCCGUAACUUUGGAUUGUAACUAAUGGGAUGCCUAUCCUUGUGAAUU